CGUAGGGUGCGAGCGUUGUCCGGAAUUACUGGGCGUAAAGAGCUCGUAGGUGGUUUGUCGCGUCGUCUGUGAAAUUCCGGGGCUUAACUCCGGGCGUGCAGGCGAUACGGGCAUAACUUGAGUACUGUAGGGGAGACUGGAAUUCCUGGUGUAGCGGUGGAAUGCGCAGAUAUCAGGAGGAACACCGGUGGCGAAGGCGGGUCUCUGGGCAGUAACUGACGCUGAGGAGCGAAAGCAUGGGUAGCGAACAGGAUUAGAUACCCUGGUA
rnacentral:rRNA from 1 species